GACGAACCGAGCGAACGUUGUUCGGAAUUACUGGGCGUAAAGCGUGCGCAGGCGGCUGCUCAAGUCAGGGGUGAAAGCCCAGAGCCCAACUCUGGAAUUGCCUUUGAGACUGAGUGGCUUGAGUACGGGAGAGGUGAGUGGAAUUCCCAGUGUAGAGGUGAAAUUCGUAGAUAUUGGGAAGAACACCGGUGGCGAAGGCGGCUCACUGGCCCGUAACUGACGCUCAUGCACGACAGCGUGGGGAUCAAACAGG
rnacentral:rRNA from 1 species